CUGAUAUAGUCAAAGUUGAGAUAACAGAAGAUCUGUGUGUGAGACGUCAACUGGGAGCCCCAGAUGAGGAAACCAGUGAAAGUAUCAGCGCAGAUCAUUGCACACAACUAUUGGAUAAACAAGGACUAUGGACAAGCUGAUAAACCCCCCUUUUUUGCUACAUCCGAAGAAAAAUUCAUCUACAUUGGAAUGAAAACAAAAGGUUGCCGAAAACUAUCCAGGAUUGGCCCUUCCAUUAACAUGUGAUCACAACACAGGAGCGGACCUGUUUUGGAACUUACGUUCAUUAUGAACUCGAAAGGGAACUACUGUUUUUCUUAAAUGAUUUUGAUUGGUCCUAAACAAGCGAGGUAACAUUUUCAAAAUAUCCUCAUCCGAUUUAUAUAUUAAAAUUAUAAUUAGAUUCUUUGCAUUUUUGCACACAAAAAAGGUUAUCUUUGAAUUUUGAUCUAAAUAGAAAUCGGCUGACGAUAUUAAUACCUUAACUUUGUGAGUCUGGCUCCGGUAAAACCGGAAAAGGAACAUUGAUUAUUUCUGUAUAAAAAGCACCUGUGUAAACCCAAAGGCAGCAUCUCAUUAUUUUACUGCUCUUGAGAAAGACGAAACAUCGUUGAAACGCGUAGAGCUUUUGAUUAUGAGCUUUCAUCUAUCUGUCAACAGUGACACUUUUAAAUAAAUUUGUAUCUUUUACGAA